rnacentral:tRNA from 1 species
AAGGGAGACCUAAUUCGGGUAGAAGACGAAAAAAUAGUAGUCGAAACCAAGAAUCAAUCCCAAAAGGUCGGAACGAGGUAUGUGGCUUUCAAACUAGGUUCUGGGUUCACAAAAGACCUGAAUCAGGAACAAGGGCUAUUAGCUCAGGUGGUUAGAGCGCACCCCUGAUAAGGGUGAGGUCCCUGGUUCGAGUCCAGGAUGGCCCACCUGCACAGGUGGCAAAAACAAGAGAAACGAGGAAUCAGCACCUUAUCUUACUUACAUAGUAAGAGAGAAUGCUGGCUCUGGGUAAAGAGUCCAGAGGAACCUUGAAAACUGCAUAGAGCUAGGUGAAAAAGCCAAAAAAGAAGACCGCAA